UACGUAGGGUGCGAGCGUUAAUCGGAAUUACUGGGCGUAAAGCGUGCGCAGGCGGUUUUGUAAGCCAGAUGUGAAAUCCCCGGGCUUAACCUGGGAAUGGCAUUUGGGACUGCAAGGCUGGAGUGCGGCAGAGGAGACUGGAAUUCCUGGUGUAGCAGUGAAAUGCGUAGAUAUCAGGAGGAAUACCGAUGGCGAAGGCAGCCCCCUGGGCUAACACUGACGCUCAUGCACGAAAGCGUGGGGAGCAAACAGG
rnacentral:rRNA from 1 species